UACGGGGGGGGCGAGCGUUGUUCGGAAUUACUGGGCGUAAAGGGUUCGUAGGUGGCCUGCUAAGUCAGACGUGAAAUCCCUCAGCUUAACUGGGGAACUGCGUCUGAAACUGGCGGGCUUGAGUGCAGGAGAGGAACGCGGAAUUCCAGGUGUAGCGGUGAAAUGCGUAGAUAUCUGGAGGAACACCGGUGGCGAAGGCGGCUUGCUGGGCCAGUUCUGACGCUGAGGAGCGAAAGCGUGGGGAGCGAACAGG
rnacentral:rRNA from 1 species